rnacentral:rRNA from 1 species
UACGAAGGGGGCUAGCGUUGCUCGGAAUCAUUGGGCGUAAAGGGUGCGUAGGUGGCGGGGUAAGUCAGGUGUGAAAUUUCGGAGCUCAACUCCGAAACUGCAUUUGAUACUGCCUUGCUUGAGGACUGGAGAGGAGACUGGAAUUCACGGUGUAGCAGUGAAAUGCGUAGAUAUCGUGAGGAAGACCAGUGGCGAAGGCGGGUCUCUGGACAGUUCCUGACACUGAGGCACGAAGGCCAGGGGAGCAAACGGG